rnacentral:tRNA from 2 species
CGGGGUGUGGCGCAGCCUGGUAGCGCACCUGCUUUGGGAGCAGGGGGUCGGAGGUUCAAAUCCUCUCACCCCGA